rnacentral:rRNA from 1 species
AUGACAGCACUAAGAUUGACAAACAUACCCGAACUUGCGCAUUUCAAAGGGUCCACACGCAUGCCAGAUCUUCCUGCAUUUGUGUUUAUCACCACUGCCAGAUAUUCAAGGACCUUUUCUCAAGUAUCCGAAUUCUUAAGCAGCACUAGAAGAACAUCCCUCAGCCCAUCCUGCAAGCUAUUCAUAACAUUUUGUAUUGCUGCGAAUGAUGACAGUAAAUCAGCCGGCCUGCGUGUAGAUGCCUCGGAGAAGCACUGUUGCCCAACAUCAGGCUGGCUUGCAAACUCACGGUCAGGGAUAGCACUAACAUGGAAGAAGGCCCCAAGCAAGCUGCAGAUCUCCAUGGUUCUUCCUUCCCCAAUCAGCAUCAGCGUCAGAGCUGAGAUUGUAUCCCAAUGUAACAUAUACGAAGGAGGACAGAAAACUGUAUUCAAAUACAUGCCAGAGAAGGCUGCCGACAGUGAAGAGACAGUGGCCGGGUGGAUCAGGUCGGAGGUAAUCUUCCACUCAAAGAUGAUGGGAAAAUUGCGUUUGAGGGGAAGAAAUGUAUACUUGCAGUAUUCAUCUCAUCAAGAACUAACUACUCAUCCGAGCUCUCAUGGACAGAAUCCUGAUCAGGACAGGAGCACACGGGGAAGAGCAUGGUUCUUGACAAUGAGGCCCUUUAUAAGAUCUGUUUCAGGACAUUCUCAAGCUGACCACUCCCAGUUGUAA